CGAACGAAAUGCAAAAGAUAACCUAAAAUAUAUUCACUCCGCAAUAUUGGAGGCACGAACGAGAAGUAAAUUGUCAUUUCUGUCAAACUUAUAAAUUUAACGAUAGAAAUAAGAAUAGUUUUUGAUCGAUUUGUGUCAUAAAAUAUCACAUAAUGUUUGCAACGUUGGGAAGAGUAUGUGGUACAUCAGCACUAAGAAAUAUCAGACAAGUACAAACUUCAGCUGUUCGAACGUCUGAUCAUCUAUUUGUUCACCGAGAUACUGAAUAUGACAAUCCCAAUAUACCGUUUGAAUUUGAUGAAGCUAACAAAAAGAGGGUGGAAGCAAUUCUUGCAAUUUACCCAGAGGGUCAUAAGAGAGGUGCAAUGAUUCCUUUGCUAGAUUUGGCUCAAAGGCAGCAUGGAUGGUUGCCUAUUUCUGCAAUGCAUAAAGUGGCUGAGAUUAUUGGAGUAUCUAACAUGCGUGUGUAUGAAGUAGCAACAUUCUAUACUAUGUUUAACAGAAGACCGAUGGGAAAGUAUCAUGUCCAAAUUUGUACUUGUACUCCGUGUUGGUUAAGAGAUUCAGACUCUAUUGUAAAAGCUGUCGAGGAGGCAACAAACUGUAAGCUGGGCGGAACCUCAGCGGAUAAAUUGUUUACAUUGUCGGAAGUUGAAUGUCUUGGAGCUUGUGCCAAUGCUCCGAUGCUUCAAGUGAAUGAUGAUUAUUACGAAGAUUUGACACCAGAAACAACAAAGCACAUAAUAGGUAAAUUGAAAGCUGGAGAAAGACCGCCACCUGGUCCCCAAAACUCUCCUCGAUUUGCAGCAGACCCAGCUGGUGGACUUACAUCAUUGACAACUCCUCCACCAGGACCCGGUGAUUUUGUGCGAAGUGAUUUAUAAUUUAUUUAAAUAAUUAGAAUUAUCUGAUAGUCAACUGUUGAUCAAUAAAAAUUGACGAGUUACACAACCCCAGAUCAUACUCCAGGUGCGCUCCUACGCACAUACUGGCUCCCUGGAUUUUAUUGGGCGGGGUAGUGCGAAUUUUCACGCUUGCGUCACAGAUAAGGAAAAUGAAGCAAAAUAUCUCUGUAUGAAUCCCAUGAGUUCUUUUUAAAAUAUUUCUGUCACGAAAUAUCUUACGCUACUCAUGAAAUUCGAAUCAACAGAUCACUUUCAUGAUGAAAAUUAUUACUGCGUAUCGCAUUGCUCCUUCUACUACUACUUGAUAAUCAUUAAUUUAGAAAAUCUCACAUUAAAGAGCAAAAUAAUAGACAAGGAUGAGAUAAAAAAUGAUAAAACAAGCGAUAAUAAUGAAGAUUGUUAAAGUGAGUAAAAAUUCGAUGAUAAAAAAAAAUUGAGUCACUGGCGUAAAAUGUAAAAAGAUGAUGUGGUACAAGAAAGAGGAGAACGCAGGCGCUUCUCUCAACUCCUCUCUUUCGUCUACAUAUAAUCCCUCCCACUAUUGUGCUCUCGUUUUCUCCCUAUGAGUCGUCUAGCUUUCAACCCCCAUCGAGAACAGCAUCCAAGCUCUACGAACUAACUCGUUAGUACGCGGUACGUCGUCUGCCGGUUUGGUCUCAGCCACAUCGUUUAAUUUAUUCUUAAAAUUAAUACCCACCUCUACGCAAAUCUUUUAUGACAAUCAUUUGAUUAACAACCAUUUAAUUAAAUUUUAUAAUUAGAUUUUUAAAAUUAAAAUAUUAGAAAAAUUUUAUUAAUAUUAAUUAAAAUUAUAUUUAAAAUGCUUUUAAAUAAUAAUGAUGACGCUAAAAGGUGAUAAGUGCAAACUCGUUUGUUUAUACCGAUAUCAACGACUGAUCUAAUCUCAGGAUGUUUAUCGUGGUAAUGUAUAGCUUGUCUUAAUUACUGGCAAUAAAGUAGAUGGCUCAGGUUGAUAUAAAAUUGAGGUCAGGUGUACUAGUUUGACAAAACUAUACCUGCAUACCCUCAGGCUGACGAUUCAAAAGUCAUAAUAGUAAUUUUGCGGAUCUACAAAAGCUUUUUGGCUGAUUUCACGCUAAUAACAUCACUGGCUUGGUAAUAUUGUUGGCACGCUGAGUGCUUUAUGGUGCGUGGUAUUUGUUUAAGAGAGAAGACAUAAAAGAAAGGAGAAAAUAAAAAAGAAUGAAAAGUUGUUAGGAAAAAAAUGAAAUGGGCGUGAAAGCGAUGAAAGGUCUUUAAAAAACGUCAAGAAUAAGCAAGAAAGAAAGACAAACUCUAAAGAUUCAGUUAUUUCUAUAAUAAAAGUUAUAUUGAACUUUGUUAAGAAUAAUAUUUAUUACGACAAUUAUUGUUCUCCAUUCAUUAGUUUCUUUUUACAAAUAUUCUAUCGAAAGUAACAAAACUGUUUCACUUCAAACAGUUAUUUCGCUUGGCAAAUGUUCAAGUAUUUUUGUGUGGAAUUAUUGUUGAUUGUUGAUGAAACAUAAUCCAUCAUACAAUUGCGUGUGCGAGCGAUCAAAAUAUAGAGAAAACAAUUAACACAGGUGACUAUAAAAUUUUAUGAAUUUUAUUUAAUUUAUUUUAUCAAAAAACUAUGAAUAAUUAAACAAAUUGACA